CCCUUAGAUGUUCUGGGCCGCACGCGCGCUACACUGAUGCAUUCAACGAGCCUAUCCUUGACCGACAGGUCCGGGUAAUCUUUGAAUCUGCAUCGUGACGGGGAUAGAUUAUUGCAAUUAUUAAUCUUCAACGAGGAAUGCCUAGUAGGCGCAAGUCAUCAGCUUGCGUCGAUUACGUCCCUGCCCUUUGUACACACCGCCCGUCGCUCCUACCGAUUGAAUGUUCCGAUGAAUACCAUGGACUGAGAGUAUGAAUGGGUUCGCCUAUUUCUGCUUCUCGGGAAGUGGAGUAAAUCUUAACAUUUAGAGGAAGGAGAAGUCGUAACA
rnacentral:rRNA from 1 species